rnacentral:ncRNA from 1 species
AAGCGGGGGUGCCUGGCGAAACCAGGCUGAGAGAGUCCCUUGGAACCUGAUCCGGUUUGCACCGGCGUAGGGAGCU